CUCUUCCUCUGUACUCAGCACUGUGCCCUCUCACAAGAUCAUCACGGGCUAGUGACAAAUGAUCAGAUACAAAAAUAUACUAUGAGUCAGCGGAACGUGCCACGCUUUAAGGCAGACAAACAUGCAGCUGGCCCAUGGGGAGGGAGGAAGGACUAGAGGGACACGGGGACGGUUUUUCAAACCAGGCAAGUGGAGACGAGAGCAGAAAGAAAGAGCAGCUUGCGCAAAGGCCCUGGGGGUGCAGUCUCUGCUCCUGCCCCGCUGACUUACUCCUAAGAAGAUGAACUGUGGUGUCUCCGUGACAUCAUUCACGCAGUGGCCACGGCUGUCCUUCCUGCCCGCUCUGCCUCUGCCCACUGGCCACAUCUCCUUCCAGCAUCUUCCAGACCCAGCAUUGCUCCAGGAAGCCACACCGAGAUCACUCCACCCCACAGGCCCUGUUGGGGUCUCUCCUGGGUUCCUCUAGUUUGCUCACUGUGCUGUAUUAAAACUUUGGGUUCCCCUCUCUCUCCCACCAAUGUUAAACUACUUCAGA
rnacentral:lncRNA from 10 species